rnacentral:rRNA from 1 species
CCUACGGGAGGCAGCAGUGGGGAAUUUUGGACAAUGGGGGCAACCCUGAUCCAGCAAUGCCGCGUGAGUGAAGAAGGCCCUCGGGUUGUAAAGCUCUUUUGUCAGGGAAGAAACGGUGGUUCCUAAUACGAGCUGCUAAUGACGGUACCUGAAGAAUAAGCACCGGCUAACUACGUGCCAGCAGCCGCGGUAAUACGUAGGGUGCAAGCGUUAAUCGGAAUUACUGGGCGUAAAGCGUGCGCAGGCGGUUAUAUAAGACAGAGGUGAAAUCCCCGGGCUCAACCUGGGAACUGCCUUUGUGACUGUAUGGCUAGAGUGUGUCAGAGGGGGGUAGAAUUCCACGUGUAGCAGUGAAAUGCGUAGAUAUGUGGAGGAAUACCGAUGGCGAAGGCAGCCCCCUGGGAUAACACUGACGCUCAUGCACGAAAGCGUGGGGAGCAAACAGGAUUAGAUACCCUGGUAGUCCACGCCCUAAACGAUGUCUACUAGUUGUCGGGACUUAAUUGUCUUGGUAACGCAGCUAACGCGUGAAGUAGACCGCCUGGGGAGUACGGUCGCAAGAUUAAAACNCAAAUGAAUUGAG